rnacentral:piRNA from 1 species
UGACUGGUCAAAAUUUAAUAAGUUAUGU